rnacentral:rRNA from 1 species
AGUGAACGCUGGCGGUAGGCCUAACACAUGCAAGUCGAACGGCAGCACAGUAAGAGCUUGCUCUUACGGGUGGCGAGUGGCGGACGGGUGAGGAAUACAUCGGAAUCUACUUUUUCGUGGGGGAUAACGUAGGGAAACUUACGCUAAUACCGCAUACGACCUACGGGUGAAAGCAGGGGAUCUUCGGACCUUGCGCGAUUGAAUGAGCCGAUGUCGGAUUAGCUAGUUGGCGGGGUAAAGGCCCACCAAGGCGACGAUCCGUAGCUGGUCUGAGGGGAUGGUCGGCCACACUGGAACGUAGACACGGUCCAGGCGCCUACGGGAGGGAGCAGAGGGGAAUAUUGGGCAAUGGGCGCAAGCCUGGGCCAGCCAUACCGCGUGGGAGAAGAAGGCCUUCGGGUUGUAAAGCCCUUUUGUUGGGAAAGAAAAGCAUCAGGUUAAUACCCCGCUGUUCUGACGGUACCCAAAGAAUAAGCACCGGCUAACUUCGUG